AGCCUGAACCAGCGACGCCGCGUGAGGGAUGAGCGGGAACGGGUUGUAAACCUCUUUGUGCCAUGACGAAGCGCAAGUGACGGUAGUGGGAGAAGAAGCACCGGCCAACUACGUGCCAGCAGCCGCGGUAAUACGUAGGGUGCGAGCGAAGUCCGGAAUUACUGGGCGUAAACACGUCGAAGGGCCAAAGUCGCGUCGUCUGUGAAAACCCGCAGCUCAACUGCGGGCUUGCAGGCGAUACGGGCAGACUCGAGUACUGCAGGGGAGACUGGAAUUCGUGGUGUAGCCGUGAAAUGCGCAGAUAUCAGGAGGAACACCGGUGGCGAAGGCGGGUCUCUGGGCAGUAACUGACGCUGAGGAGCGAAAGCGUGGCAACCGAACAGGAUUAGAUACCCUGGUAGUCCACGCCGUAAACGGUGGGCGCUACCUGUGGGUUUCCUUCCAGCGGUACCGUCGCG
rnacentral:rRNA from 1 species